rnacentral:rRNA from 1 species
CAGCCGUAAACUAUGCGCGUUAGGUGUAUCGGUGACCACGAGUCACCGAGGUGCCGAAGGGAAACCGUGAAACGUGCCGCCUGGGAAGUACGGUCGCAAGGCUGAAACUUAAAGGAAUUGGCGGGGGAGCACCACAACAGGUGGAGCCUGCGGUUUAAUUGGACUCAACGCCGGACAACUCACCGGGACGACAGCAAUAUGUAGGCCAGGCUGAAGACCUUGCCUGAAUCGCUGAGAGGAGGUGCAUGGCGUAGACGUCU